UACGGAGGGUGCUAGCGUUGUUCGGAAUUACUGGGCGUAAAGCGCAUGUAGGCGGCCUAAGAAGUCUGGUGUGAAAUCCCUCGGCUUAACCGGGGAAGUGCGCUGGAAACCAUUAGGCUUGAGUGCGAUAGGGGAUCGUGGAAUUCCUGGUGUAGCGGUGAAAUGCGUAGAUAUCAGGAAGAACACCGGUGGCGAAGGCGACGAUCUGGGUCGCUACUGACGCUGAUGUGCGAAAGCGUGGGGAGCAAACAGGAUUAGAUACCCCUGUAGU
rnacentral:rRNA from 1 species